rnacentral:rRNA from 1 species
GAUGAACGCUGGCGGCGUGCCUAAUACAUGCAAGUCGAACGCAUUGUGGUUGAAAUGAUAUGAAGAACUUGUUCAGAUUUGAUUUUCAACAUUGCAAUGAGUGGCGAACGGGUGAGUAACACGUGGGAAACCUACCUCUUAGCAGGGGAUAACAUUUGGAAACAAAUGCUAAUACCGUAUAAUAAUUAAAACCGCAUGGUUUUAGUUUAAAAGAUGGUCUUGCUAUCACUAAGAGAUGGUCCCGCGGUGUAUUAGUUAGUUGGUGAGGUAAUGGCUCACCAAGACAAUGAUACAUAGCCGAGUUGAGAGACUGACCGGCCACAAUGGGACUGAGACACGGCCCAUACUCCUACGGGAGGCAGCAGUAGGAAUCUUCCCACAAUGGACGAAAGUCUGAUGGAGCAACGCCGCGUGUGUGAUGAAGGUUUCGGCUCGUAAACACUGUUGUAAGAGAAGAAUGACAUUGAGAGUAACUGUUCAAUGUGUGACGGUAU